rnacentral:rRNA from 1 species
UUAAAUUGAAGAGUUUGAUCAUGGCUCAGAUUGAACGCUGGCGGCAGGCCUAACACAUGCAAGUCGAACGGUAACAGGAAGAAGCUUGCUUCUUUGCUGACGAGUGGCGGACGGGUGAGUAAUGUCUGGGAAACUGCCUGAUGGAGGGGGAUAACUACUGGAAACGGUAGCUAAUACCGCAUAACGUCGCAAGACCAAAGAGGGGGACCUUCGGGCCUCUUGCCAUCGGAUGUGCCCAGAUGGGAUUAGCUAGUAGGUGGGGUAACGGCUCACCUAGCGACGAUCCCUAGCU